GUCUGGAUGGCUCAGUCGGUUAAGUGUCUGACUUCAGCUCAGAUCAUGAUUUCAGUUUGUGGGUUCGAGCCCCGCAUCAGGCC
rnacentral:tRNA from 1 species